rnacentral:pre_miRNA from 1 species
AUUAUAAUCGAAUCGUCGGUUUAUAGAGCAAUUGCAUCCGUUCAGUAGAAGAUCUUCCCUUUAUCUC